rnacentral:pre_miRNA from 1 species
AGCUUGAUUGUAAGCAAGUGGAUAAAUGGCACCUUUUGUAAGCUCUUCAUAUUCAUAAAGAGCUUACAAAAGGUGCCAAUUAUGAGUGUGUUAAUGAAUAUGGUA